rnacentral:misc_RNA from 1 species
AACGCACCUUGCGCUCCUUGGUAUUCCGAGGAGCAUGCCUGUUUGAGCAUCAUUAAACUCUCAACUUCAAAAAUUUUCUUAAUAAAGCUUUUUUUGAGGCUUGGACUUGGAGUGUGCUGGUUUUUUUAUUUUUAAAACGUCAGCUCCUCUUAAAUGCAUUAGCAGAAAUCCUUUACAAUGAAGAGAGAGAGGGAUGGGCUUUGGUUUGAUAACAGUCUAUGCCAUUGCCAUAAAAUUUCUCUUGCUGAUCUUCCUUGUGACUUUUGCUUAUAAUGGUCGAAAGACAAUUUAUAUUUUUGAAUUUGAUCUCAAAUCAGGUAGGAUUACCCGCUGAACUUAA